AAAGGAAUAGACGGGGGCCCGCACAAGCAGCGGAGCAUGUGGUUUAAUUCGAAGCAACGCGAAGAACCUUACCAAGGCUUGACAUCCUCUGACCGCCGUAGAGAUACGGCUUCCCUUCGGGGCAGAGAGACAGGUGGUGCAUGGUUGUCGUCAGCUCGUGUCGUGAGAUGUUGGGUUAAGUCCCGCAACGAGCGCAACCCUUAUCAUUAGUUGCCAACGCGUAGAGGCGGGAACUCUAAUGAGACUGCCGGGGACAACUCGGAGGAAGGUGGGGACGACGUCAAAUCAUCAUGCCCCUUAUGUCUUGGGCUACACACGUGCUACAAUGGCCGGUACAAAGAGCUGCGAAGCCGCAAGGUGAAGCGAAUCUCAAAAAGCCGGCCCCAGUUCGGAUCGUGGGCUGCAACCCGCCCACGUGAAGUCGGAGUUGCUAGUAAUCGCGAAUCAGCAUGUCGCGGUGAAUGCGUUCCCGGGCCUUGUACACACCGCCCGU
rnacentral:rRNA from 1 species